ACAUUUAUAUGGUACAAAUAAGCAAACACAUAGGCAUAUGCAUUUGCAUUUCUACAUAAUCCGGAAGUACAGCAUAACCAUUUAUUAGGGCCACAUAGGCCUUGUUCAGCACUGUCAGAUGAAGAUGCAGAUCAUGGGGUCUACAUCAGACAACUUAGACUAAUUUGUUGAAUGAUAUCUAAUCUUAGUUAAAUAAGAAUAUUUACCCAAAUUAGGCUUCUGCUAUGAUUGAAAAUAAUUAACUAACUCACCAUGUAAAUCUAUUACCACAAACUAAAACAAAUAACAAUAACAAGUUAAACUUAAUCAUAUAAAAAAUCCAUCACACAUGUUGAUAGCACAUGCCUCUCAUCAUGAUUUUGUUCCAAAUUCCACUAUCUAGCUCUCCUACUAUUGCUCUAAUUUACCCAAAUUCCAUACAUAAAUUAACUAAAUUAGUAAGAUUGGUAAAAGAAUAAUAACAAUGUUUUUUAUGAAUAUUAACAAUUCAAAAAGUUGCUUUGACAUGAACUUAAAGGUUAUAAAAAGUUGCUUUGACAUGAACUUAAAGGUUAUAAAAAGUUGGUUCGACAUGAACCAAAAGGUUAUAAAAGCCCAUCAUACAGUUGUGUGAUCAUAAGAGUGAACUAUGGGGAACAUCAUAAUCCUUCCUCUUGUUUAUUUAGGUCAUCCUCUCUCUGUCCUACAUGAAAAAGGGACCAAACCUUUUUGAACUUGCUAGAGACUACCUCAACUACAGCUCACUGUGUGCAUUUUUCAACUCAAUCCCAUUUAGCCACGUCUUGAUCAGAAUGCGAGCAAAAUGCAAGCAUGACCCUUUCAUUUUACAAGUUGAGUUGGGCCCCUUAAUUGGCUGACCAGUUGAUACCCCUUACCAAUUGAGACAUAACAACAGAUCAGUGGCUGAUUAGAAGUGGCAUGAGGUUAUCGAUGCUCAUCCAGUGGCCGAAGCCACGACAUCUCAUGGGACAAAACUAGUAUAAAUAAUAUGCAUGGACAUAAGAAUGAUUCACGGCUACGGAGUUCGGUCUUGGGCUUUGACGAGGUGGAAAUUAUGAGACCACAAGGAGGAUUGAGUUUAUAAAGAUCGAGGAGUCUAAUACUGUAACUAAAAACAACAAUUUUGGCAAGUGGUUCAACUCAUAAAGUUAAAUAGUAAUUAUCGCAUCAGUUGGGAUCGACAUAAAACCCCAUGAUGUCAAAAGGAGCUAAGAAGGUUAGGUUACAAGAUCCAAAAACAUCAACAGUGCACAAAUUCUAAUUCAAGAAAAGAAGAUGUAUACCGACUUAUGUGUCACGCGACCCUAAACCCCUAACAUUAUCAAGAAACGGAAAGGUUUCCCUUAUGCAUCUGAUCGGGGCCGAGACACGCAACAUCCUGAAUAAAUAACAUAGGUUUCCCACUCCUUCGUUCUUAGGAUUCGAGCUCACGCAAUCAUCCUGUACGAUUGCAAAAG
rnacentral:lncRNA from 1 species